rnacentral:rRNA from 1 species
CCUACGGGAGGCUGCAGUCGAGAAUCAUUCGCAAUGGGCGCAAGCCUGACGAUGCGACGCCGCGUGCAGGAUGAAGGUCUUCGGAUUGUAAACUGCUGUGAUGGGGGAGCAAUGCGAGACGCGCUAAUACCGCGUAACGUUGAUAGUACCCCAAGAGGAAGCCACGGCUAACUCUGUGCCAGCAGCCGCGGUAAUACAGAGGUGGCAAGCGUUGUUCGGAUUUACUGGGCGUAAAGGGUGCGUAGGCGGUUUUGUGUGUCGGAUGUGAAAGCCCACGGAUUAUCCGUGGAACUGCAUUCGAAACUACAGAACUGGAGUGCCGGAGAGGAUGGCGGAAUUCUCGGUGUAGCGGUGAAAUGCGUUGAGAUCGAGAGGAACGCCGGUGGCGAAGGCGGCCAUCUGGACGGCAACUGACGCUGAGGCACGAAAGCUAGGGGAGCAAACAGGAUUAGAUACCCUUGUAGUC